AUGUGUCAGGAGCGUAUGGGAUUCUUUCCCUUAUUCAAGGUGCCGGCUGUGGAGAAGUGGCUGGCGUAAAAGCAAAUGUGUGCAAAGACCUUGAAGAAAACUUGAAAUGUGCAUUAGAUAAAGUCUUUGAGCCCAUGAUAAAGUCCUAUAGGGCUUUUAACAAGUGCCUCAUGGAGGGUGUUGAAAAAUCCAAUAGUUCAAGGGAAAGUGACUUGAAGUCCUUCUUAUAUCCCAAAAGAAUAAAAGGAAGAGCUUUAUACGGGAG